AUGUGUAGAAUUGCAGUAAAAUGUUGCUUAGGGCCCCCAAAAGGCUAUGGCUGUCCCUGGGUCAGUAAUUCGGUCAUGAUUACAACAAGGUUUAGAUAGCUGGCUAGACUAAUUUACCUAACAAUCUAUAAAUUAUUAGCAGACAUGGGCUAAUUGAGUGACUGUCAGUGACUGACAUAACGAGGAAAACUGCUGAUGCACAACCAAAUUUCUAAAUUGCACGUUGUGUAUUCUACUUUCCCAACUGUAAGUUAGUUAUAAUAUAAUGUUUAAUCAUGUGCAAUUUUAAGGCUCAAUAAUCUUUAACUCAAUAAACUUUUGCAGGUGACGAUACAGACGCAAAUAGAGAUUUACGGGAGUUUGGCAAUGCGUUCGAACCACAUGGAAGACAGAGGGGGUGUAUGGAUUCUACAGGAGCAUGUCUUUGCCGGUCACCACUGUGUCCGUCAGCUCCUCUGUAGUGUUUGGCGUCUACAGGAAUGUCCUGCAAUGUCCUACGUCAACUACGCGCCACCCCCACAGGUUUAGAUUUUCUGCAAGCCAAGGUGGACAUCUUCUUGUCCGGGUUGUCAGGCGUUGCCCAGGUAGUCUACUUAUUAUUAUAUUAGUCUACAGUCGUUGUGACAUUACAUGACAUGAUGCUUUUAAAAUAUUGAUCAGUUUCAGUAAAUUCCUUCAGUAAAACUAAAACUAAAAGUUCCCCUAAGCAAAAACUGGGUCAUAUACCACUAGGAACCAAAUGGAAGUUGUCCUAGUUGAAACGUUUGUUUUCCUUUUCCGUUGCAAGCGUUUUGCUAUGGUAUGCACUAAUACGAUCCUGAUGACAUCAUUACCACAACACCUAGGGUUUGAAUCCUCCCUCUCUUAUCCUCUUUAAAGUAUCAGUGGUGGCACCAGCUGACAUAGUGAAAGUACGGAUGCAGUGUCAGAUGGUACAUCAAGGCUUGGACGCUCAGCAACCCAAUGCACGGUCUGAAGACCAUCGCUCGUGAGGAGGGCUUCCUCGAACUGUACAAGGAAGCUAGUGCACUCGCCCUGCGAGAAAGCCCUUGUUUUGCCACCUACUUCACUAUUUAUCACGUUAUCUGUGAGCAACUGUCACCACCUGGGAAGACCCAGUCAGGUAAACACACAUCAUCACAAUCCCGUUUGCAGGUGGACGGUAUAGGCAAGAGGAGAUACAAGGGUUUCUUCCACUACAGAGCAUAGGCACUGAGGGGCCGGGUGUUCUCUUCAAAGGCCUGGGCCUCAAUUGCAUACAUGCCUUCCCCGUCAUCAUGUCUGUGUUCGCCAUGUACGAGGUGGAUGUGCGCCUCCUUCGACCGUGAAUCUAUAGGUCUGGGUUGAAUUCAUUAGGCAUUAAACGGAAGAAAACUGACUGAAAUAGUUUAGUGUCCUAAUGAACACAACCCUGGUUUUGAAAACUUGGGUGACAACCUUUUUUUAUUUACUUUUUUAAACAAGAUGUGAUUCUAUUUUAAUGAUGUUUCUCAUGCAGUUUUCCAUGAUUGGAAUAAUCCAGUUAGCGUUUAUGCUAUAUCACCAUUCACCUUUGCCUCAGUUGCUGCUAUAUGUGAUUGUUCAAUAGUGCCAUAUUGCACUAUAAGGGAAACUUUCAAUAUUCCUGCAAAGUAUUUCAAGUGAAAAUGAAUACGGUGUUAAAACAGUUUUAUGGUAGAUUUCUCAGCCCUUUUGGGAAUAGCACUACAGUACCUUCAUUUGCACAUCAUUUUUAUUUAUUUGAAGGGAGGCGUUACUUUUUACACAACCUUCCCUCACGGACCUUAAUACAGGGUUGUAUUUUACACAGCAGGAUCACUUGAUUUUACUGCUUUAUAAAUUAAGCUGAAGUGGAUUAGUAACAGUUUGUUUUAUCUUCUUAAUGAAUUUGAAAGUAUGGAGAUAGUUAUUUCUGAAUACUGUAUUAAGGAAAGUUACUUAGCAAUCUUGUUGAUCCUGCCCUAAGAAUUAUCCCAUUCUUUAUAUCACUCCUGUCACAGCUUGGAAAACAAGUGCCUUUGCAAUAGGGCCACCAGCCAGCAAACUGCAGUAUUCUCGGUGUAUCAUCAGUAUUUAGGAAUUGAUUCACUUCUGCCACAGGCUUUCACCUCACAUUCGGUAUGAACAUGAGUGAAGCCGAGGCUAGGAAUUGAUCAACUUUGCUUUGAAAAUACAAUAGAAAAAUAUUUGAUGUUACUGGAUCCAAGCAGUAACAAUUCUGAGACGUUGACAUAUAGUACUGCCUUAACUCCCAGUUCUCAAAAUACUGUGAGUCAUUCUCUGUAUACCUCAUGUAGUGAUGAUACUGUAAUUUGAUUUUGAAUGACAAUCCCGUUAUUUGGUAGUGUUUGAGAAAAAUGAACUUCUAAGUUGUGUAUCCGAUUUUGGUGUGAUUAAAAAUAAUGGAUUUUUAACAUAAACAUUUCUGCAGUGUAAAGUGAACGAUUUAAUUAUUGAAUAAAAAUGUGUCCAAUCACAAGA